GCUUUCAACAUCCCCGUCUCGGAGGCGAAAAGACGGUUUCGGCGUGAGCCGAUGCCAGAAGGCCUCGAGAGACUGAAGGC
rnacentral:sRNA from 1 species